UACAGAGGGGGCAAGCGUUGUUCGGAAUUACUGGGCGUAAAGGGCGCGUAGGCGGCCUUCUAAGUCGAACGUGAAAUCCCCGGGCUCAACCCGGGAACAGCCUUUAAGACUGCAUCGCUAGAAUCCGGGAGAGGUGAGUGGAAUUCCGAGUGUAGAGGUGAAAUUCGUAGAUAUUCGGAAGAACACCAGUGGCGAAGGCGGCUCACUGGACCGGCAUUGACGCUGAGGUGCGAAAGCGUGGGGAGCAAACAGG
rnacentral:rRNA from 1 species